GGUAAAAAAGCUCGUAGUUGGAUUUCUGUUGAGAACGACCGGUCCAUACAACGUGUGCGUAUCUGGUUCGGUCUCGGCAUCCUCUCGAUGUGCGUCUCUGCGCUUGAUUGCGUGGUACGAAUAUCGGGACUUUUACUUUGAGGAAAUUAGAGUGUUCACGGCAGGCUAUCGCCAGAAUAUAUUAGCAUGGAAUAAUACUAUAGGAUCUUGAUUCUAUUUUGUUGGUUUCUAGGAUUAAGAUAAUGAUUAAUAGGGACAAUUGGGGGCAUUCGUAUCAACACGUCAGAGGUGGAAUUCUUGGAUUGUGUUGCGACGAACUACUGCGAAAGCAUUUGCCAAGGAUGUUUUCAUUGAUCAAGAACGAAAGUUAGGGGAUCGAAGACGAUUAGAUACCGUCGUAGUCUUAACCAUAAACUAUGCCAACUAGAGAUAGGACAUCGUUCAUAUACGACUUGUUCUGCACCUUAUGAGAUAUCAAAGUCUUUGGGUUCCGGGGGGAGUAUGGUCGCAAGUCUGAAACUUAAAGGAAUUGACGGAAGGGCACCACCAGGAGUGGAGCCUGCGGCUUAAUUUGACUCAACACGGGGAAACUCACCAGGUCCAGACAUAAUAAGGAUUGACAGAUUGAUAGCUCUUUCUUGAUUUUAUGGGUGGUGGUGCAUGGCCGUUCUUAGUUCGUGGAGUGAUUUGUCUGCUUAAUUGCGUUAACGAAC
rnacentral:rRNA from 1 species